rnacentral:rRNA from 1 species
GUCAGGACGAACGCUGGCGGCGUGCCUAAUACAUGCAAGUCGAACGGUCUUUCUAUGGAAGCUUGCUUCCACUGAGAAGAUAGUGGCGAACGGGUGAGUAACACGUGGGUAACCUGCCCAUAAGAGGGGGGAUAACAUCCGGAAACGGGUGCUAAUACCGCAUAGUUUUCUUGAUCGCAUGAUCGGGAAAGGAAAGACGGCCUUUGUGCUGUCGCUUAUGGAUGGACCCGCGGCGUAUUAGUUAGUUGGUGAGGUAACGGCUCACCAAGACGAUGAUACGUAGCCGACCUGAGAGGGUGAUCGGCCACAUUGGGACUGAGACACGGCCCAAACUCCUACGGGAGGCAGCAGUAGGGAAUCUUCCGCAAUGGACGAAAGUCUGACGGAGCAACGCCGCGUGAGUGAAGAAAGGUUUUCGGAUCGUAAAACUCUGUUGUCAGAGAAGAACAAGUUGGAGAGUAACUGCUCCAGCCUUGACGGUAUCUGACCAGAAAGCCACGGCUAACUACGUGCCAGCAGCGGC